GAGGUUGGUGUCCGGUCCUGUACCGCUGUACGGCCGUACCCUCUAGGCACCCCCGCGCGCGUCCUACCUACACCACCGUCGGCGUCGUAUCAGGGCCCGGCCGGCCCUGUCUCACCGACGCCGCUUUUAUACAGCUCCCACCUCCACUCCUCUGCCCCUCUCGUCUCGUCUCGGCUUUGUAUAUAGCCCGGAAGCCUGCUUGCGCACAACAACAACUCUGCAUGACUCCACUAGUCCACCAUCCGCCGCCUCCCCUUGCGGGCUGCAAUGGACGGGGUAUUUGUGCUAGAGCUUUAGAGGCGCGCGGCGGGGGUGCGAGUGCGAGUGCGGCCGCCGACGCGCGGGCGAAGGAGGCAGCGGGAUGGGGCUGCUGUCGAACCGGGUGGAGCGGUCGGAGAUCAGGCCCGGCGACCACAUCUACACCUGGCGGGCCGUUUACGCCUACUCCCACCACGAUAACAGAGGUUUUUGACCCUCAUUUAGGAAGCUUAGACGACCCUUCUACAGUGUCACAACUGUGCUAUAGGGACAGUGUGUCUCCACAGUGAGUGCCUACUGUUGGCUGAUGCCAUGUUCUACUACUCCAACUCCAUAAAUUAAAGUGGUCCUUUAUGGUAAUUUAGUGAGGCCCAUAUCUUGGGAGGACAAGAUCUGGGUUCUGCUGCGCUACCUGCACCUGCACGAAAAGCUGCUCGAUUUGUUGGAACAACCCUGUUUGGCUUCUUCUCUUGCAUCAUACACCCUCUCUGGGCUCUGAAUUACUUUGCCAACUAAUAGCAUUUUUACAUGUUCCAGCAAAGCAAAUUAUCCAUUACUAAGAGAACAUCAGCAUGUUGUCCACACCAGGGCAAUAUGUAAAGCAAUGAUAUAUCGCUAACUGCCGUUUCGAAAUUCCUUUUCCGUUGCUUCUCAAGCAAUUUUCUCGUGUAUGUUCAGGCAUCUAUGUUGGAGGAAGCAAGGUGGUCCAUUUUACGCGAAAGAAAGAAACCGAAAGUUCAGAUUCAUCAGACUUCACCUCCAGCUUAAUCUCAGGGGUUCCGUCAGAGUGCCCAACAUUCCCUGACUGUGGAUUUCAGCUGCCCAGCAGUGGCGUCGUCCUCACUUGCUUGGACUGUUUCGUCCGCAGUGGCUCCCUCUACUGCUUCGAGUAUGGGGUGCCAUCUGCGGUUUUCCUUGCAAAGCUUCGUGGGGGGACCUGCACCACUGCCGAAUCAGACCCACCAGAGGUUGUCGUCCAUCGAGCCAUGUGCUUGCUCCAGAAGGGCUUUGGAAAUUACGAUAUCUUCGAGAAGAACUGUGAAGACUUUGCACUCUACUGCAAGACUGGGCUUCUACCGGUCGAGGAUCCUGGCAUUGGGACUAGUGGGCAAGCUUCUUCUGCCAUCGGUGUGCCGUUGGCAGCUCUUCUGUCCACCCCGUUCAAGCUUCUGGCUGCUGGCCCGCUUGGAAUGGCCACCGUCACAGCUGGGAUGUACUGUGCUGGCAGAUACAUUACCGACAUAGGAGUAAGGAAGGACGUAGCAAAAGUUGAGGUGGAGAAAUUGUCAUCACACCCCGGUUUCCACCUUGUCGAAGACGAAGGAUCAGUUAACAAGCGGUCAGAAAAGCCGAAGUCCUUGCUCCCUAUGAAGAGGAAACGAGGAAGGUGAGUGUGAAACACAGCUUUGGGGUGGGUGGUUGGGUGGGGCGAACUACACUGCCCUUCAAUUGGUGCCGAAUUGUGGAUAAUUUGGGAUAUAGUAUAUGCUCCACUGUAAUAAGACUGGAUGGUAUAGAUAUCUGUCUUCAGAAUGUGCUCUAAUUGGGUUAGGCGCACGCGCACCCCUCACAUGGUCAAUUGUAACUCAUAAAUUUAAUCAUCAAAUCACUAUAUAAUGUAGAUUUUGUUCUA